rnacentral:lncRNA from 1 species
GCGGAAAUCACAACUUUGAAAGAAAUAUCUUCCUAACAUCAAGCUCACUAGUCUAAUGAUGAGGAUUAGUGAUAGCAAUGUCAGGGUUAGGCUCAUUUUCAUGCCAUUACAUUGAAUUUUUACCUAUGGCAUACUCAGAUGGAAAUUAUAUAACAGACUGCCAUAAGCGUGUAUGAGACUCGAUUUGGAUGGCCUUCUAGUUUCUGAAUCUAUUAGCAUUUAGCAUGUGGCAAACGUUUAAUAUAAUCCUAAUGCAACAUAACUAGUGAUCUGGUGGAUGUUCUGAUGUUGAGAAGUUAGCCCCAUAGGUGACCACACUAUGGUGAAGAUUAAAGGUUAUUUUUAGCCACAUGCUAAAUAGGAAAGUUACAUGAAAGUUAUAAACUAUUUUGCAUAUCACUGAGUGAAAUGAGUAUUUGAUCCAACCCAUCCGGAGUUCUGGCUGCCACAGACUGGAAUCAAUCAGUCAGUCAAUUACAGAUCCUCCUGAUCUCAGCUCCUUUUGGUAUAAAGCACACCUGCCCACAUAGUUUCUUCCAUUCCAGCUUCUCCACCACCACAGACAACACCGAAGAGCUGUCAAAGGAUGUCAGGGACAAGACUGUAGACCUGCACAAGGCUGGAAUGGAGUGGAAGAAGCUUGGUGAGACAAGCUUCUUCCACUCCAGAAGAUUAUUCUUCUGGAGUGGAAGAAGCAGAAGAAACAUUAAGCCUUUGGUCUUGGUGUACCACACUCAUUACAGAAUCUAAAAUUGCUUUUACACCAGAUGUGUAAACAUGAGUUUUGAUUAUAUUAAUUUGGAACUUUUAACUGCCUUCCAACCAAUCUCUGCUCCUACGCAAUCUCCUGCCUCAUCAGUUGGUAAUGGAACAUUAUUAACGGAAACUCCUGCCUUGACCCAUGAAAGUAGUAUCUCACACAAGUACAGCAGCGCUUCAACAAACAUUUCCUUCAGCCAGUUACCAGUGUCUUCAUUGGAAAUCUACCCUUCCACUAGUCAGCCCUCUACCUCAUCAUCUGCAUCUUUAAGUGAUCCAAUUCUGGUCCUGACGUGCCAAAAUACCUCAAGCUCACCCUACCAGACCAGGAAUCUAGAGAAUCAUUGUUCAGCAUUACCCUCUACAUCAACACACAGUCAAUCUGUAAACUACGAUAACUACCUUUUAAUCAUGACUCCACUAUCUGACAUGUCUUCUGAUGAUGAGGAACUUAACCAGGCUAUACUAGCAAGCCUGCAGAGCAAAAGGACUUCAAGUUGUUUGGUAUCAGCAAAAGAUAUUUUGGAGGAACUUUCUGCAAAAAUAAACCAACAGAAGAAAUGUAAGUUCAACAUUAAUAGAUCAACAGUCCUGGAUGGAGCAAUUAGAGGUUUUAAAUGAGCAACAUAUGAUCCAUGCCACACAAUUUCUGUCGGGUUUUCUGACGAUAUCGGAGUACCUGAAGAGGCUGUUGACUUGGGUGGAGCAAGAAGAGAAUUUCUAAGACUUCUGAUUGAAGCUUUGCCCCUGUCUCCAAUGUUUGAGGGUGAAGAAGGCAAAAUGAACUUGGCGCUUGAUAGUGCUGGUAUGUAUUGAUUUUAGGCUGAUAUCCCUGGAGUAAUGCAAUAAAAAAAAUCAUUUUUAUGAAGUUCUUGUCAAGCGCUUUCAUGCAUCUAUUGACAUGUAAUGUUUUUCAUUAUUUCUAGCCAUGAGGGAAGACAGGUACUUCAUUGCAGGCAGAGCCAUUGCAGUAAGCCUUGUACAUGGUGGUCCACCAGCAGGCUUUCUGUCCCCAACACUCUUCUCUUGCCUUGUUGAUGGCCCAGAUUUGGCUAAACCAGUUUUAGAAGAUGUUGCCGAUAGUGACCUGCGUGAAAAAAUUAAAAGGGUAAAACUGAUUUGUCAGUUGUUGGAUAAUAUUUUAGUAUUGUGUGCAUUUCGUUCUACUCCAUGUAUUAAUUGGGGGCCAUUAAUUUUUUAUUUUUUUAUUUGAAGGUUAAAGAGUGUAAAUCCUUUGAAGAUCUGAUAGUAGCAACUGAGCCACUUCAGGAAUACUUAGCCAAUGCUGGCUGCCUGAGGCCGCUGCAGAGGCUGGAAGACAAGGAUCUGCUUAUACAUGACAUUUUCAUGUUCCAAGUAAUACACAGAGUCCGUGGUCCAUUUGAAAGGUAUGUAUGUAUGUAUGUAUUUAUUAUUGUCCAAUAAGUAACUCAAACCCAUGCUGUUUGCCUUGUAUUCUGGGAAUUUUGUGUGACAUUUCUUUAUGUGUAGGUACACCAUGCCUCCAAAGGUGCCAUCAUCACUUGAAAAAUGCAGAUUUGGGAUAUACACUUUUGAUGAUGUGAAUAAUCUGAA